AACGAACGCUGGCGGCAUGCCUAACACAUGCAAGUCGAACGAGACCUUCGGGUCUAGUGGCGCACGGGUGCGUAACGCGUGGGAACCUGCCCUUAGGUUCGGAAUAACUCCCCGAAAGGGGUGCUAAUACCGGAUAAUGUCUUCGGACCAAAGAUUUAUCGCCUUUGGAUGGGCCCGCGUUGGAUUAGCUAGUUGGUAGGGUAAAAGCCUACCAAGGCGACGAUCCAUAGCUGGUCUGAGAGGAUGAUCAGCCACACUGGGACUGAGACACGGCCCAGACUCCUACGGGAGGCAGCAGUGGGGAAUAUUGGACAAUGGGCGAAAGCCUGAUACAGCAAUGACGCGUGAGUGAUGAAGGCCUUAGGGUUGUAAAGCUCUUUUACCCGGGAUGAUAAUGACAGUACCGGGAGAAUAAGCGCCGGCUAACUCCGUG
rnacentral:rRNA from 1 species